CUUUUCUCAACAUCACCUCAUCAUAAGAAGGAUGUUUAAAACUCCAACCAAGGUGCUUCUCUCGAUGAUUUUAAGAAUCUUAAAAAGAAAAACAAAACAGGAAGAGAGACCAAGAGAUGGAAGAUAAGGAAAAGGCAACACCUGGCAAUGCUGAGUUCUUACUCCUUGCUCUGUGCUCAGGGAUCACAAGGAUCACAGGAAAAGGUGGACCUGAACUGAAGGGUUUGAAAUUGAAAUA